rnacentral:rRNA from 1 species
UUUUAUGAGAGUUUGAUCCUGGCUCAGGACGAACGCUGGCGGCGUGCCUAAUACAUGCAAGUCGAACGCUUCUUUUUCCACCGGAGCUUGCUCCACCGGAAAAAGAGGAGUGGCGAACGGGUGAGUAACACGUGGGUAACCUGCCCAUCAGAAGGGGAUAACACUUGGAA